rnacentral:rRNA from 1 species
CACGUAGGGUGCGAGCGUUGUCCGGAAUUAUUGGGCGUAAAGAGCUCGUAGGCGGUGUGUCGCGUCGGCCGUGAAAACCUGCAGCUUAACUGUGGGCGUGCAGCCGAUACGGGCAGGCUAGAGUUCGGUAGGGGAGACUGGAAUUCCUGGUGUAGCGGUGAAAUGCGCAGAUAUCAGGAGGAACACCGGUGGCGAAGGCGGGUCUCUGGGCCGAUACUGACGCUGAGGAGCGAAAGCGUGGGGAGCGAACAGG